UACAUGGGGUGCAAGCGUUGCUCGGAAUCAUUGGGCGUAAAGCGCGCGUAGGCGGUUAUUUACGUCGGGUGUGAAAGCCCUCGGCUUAACUGAGGAAGUGCAUCCGAAACUGAGUAGCUAGAGUACGAAAGAGGGUCGCGGAAUUCCCGGUGUAGAGGUGAAAUUCGUAGAUAUCGGGAGGAACACCGGUGGCGAAGGCGGCGACCUGGGUCGAGACUGACGCUGAGGCGCGAAAGCGUGGGGAGCAAACAGG
rnacentral:rRNA from 1 species